rnacentral:rRNA from 1 species
UUGAACGCUGGCGGCAUGCCUAACACAUGCAAGUCGAACGGGGUAGCAAUACCCAGUGGCGGACGGGUGAGGAAUACAUAGGAAUUUGCCUUUAGGUGGGGGAUAGCCCGGGGAAACUCGGAGUAAUACCGCAUGAUGUCGAAAGACCAAAGCAGGGGAUCGCAAGACCUUGCGCCCUUAGAGAAGCCUAUGUCUGAUUAGCUAGUUGGUAGGUAAUGGCCUACAGGCGACGNUCAGUAACUGGUCUGAGAGGACGAUCAGUCACACCGGAACUGAGACACGGUCCGGACUCCUACGGGA